UGGGGAAUAUUGGACAAUGGGCGCAAGCCUGAUCCAGCCAUACCGCGUGGGUGAAGAAGGCCUUCGGGUUGUAAAGCCCUUUUGUUGGGAAAGAAAAGCAAUCGAUUAAUACCCGGUUGUUCUGACGGUACCCAAAGAAUAAGCACCGGCUAGCUUCGUGCCAGCAGCCGCGGUAAUACGAAGGGUGCAAGCGUUACUCGGAAUUACUGGGCGUAAAGCGUGCGUAGGUGGUUGUUUAAGUCUGUUGUGAAAGCCCUGGGCUCAACCUUGGAAUUGCAGUGGAUACUGGGCAACUAGAGUGUGGUAGAGGGUAGUGGAAUUCCCGGUGUAGCAGUGAAAUGCGUAGAGAUCGGGAGGAACAUCCAUGGCGAAGGCAGCUACCUGGACCAACACUGACACUGAGGCACGAAAGCGUGGGGAGCAAACAGG
rnacentral:rRNA from 1 species